UAGGGAAUCUUCCACAAUGGGCGAAAGCCUGAUGGAGCAACGCCGCGUGUGUGAUGAAGGCUUUCGGGUCGUAAAGCACUGUUGUAAGAGAAGAAUGACAUUGAGAGUAACUGUUCAAUGUGUGACGGUAUCUUACCAGAAAGGAACGGCUAAAUACGUGCCAG
rnacentral:rRNA from 1 species